rfam:Zea mays cultivar B73 chromosome 4, whole genome shotgun sequence.
AAAAUUGAUUUUUUUAUUUUGUGUCAUAUAUCAUAUCUGGUCUUGAUGCAGAUUAUAAUCCUAUGGUGGAAGCCAUAUGUGUCAAAGCUGAACCAACAUCUCUUAGCGAUCUUUACGCUAAUAUGCUCAGUACCGAGU